rnacentral:rRNA from 1 species
UGGGGAAUUUUGGACAAUGGGCGAAAGCCUGAUCCAGCAAUGCCGCGUGUGUGAAGAAGGCCUUCGGGUUGUAAAGCACUUUUGUCCGGAAAGAAAUCCUUGGCUCUAAUACAGUCGGGGGAUGACGGUACCGGAAGAAUAAGCACCGGCUAACUACGUGCCAGCAGCCGCGGUAAUACGUAGGGUGCAAGCGUUAAUCGGAAUUACUGGGCGUAAAGCGUGCGCAGGCGGUUUGCUAAGACCGAUGUGAAAUCCCCGGGCUCAACCUGGGGAACUGCAUUGGUGACUGGCAGGCUAGAGUAUGGCAGAGGGGGGUAGAAUUCCACGUGUAGCAGUGAAAUGCGUAGAGAUGUGGAGGAAUACCGAUGGCGAAGGCAGCCCCCUGGGCCAAUACUGACGCUCAUGCACGAAAGCGUGGGGAGCAAACAGGAUUAGAUACCCUGGUAGUCCACGCCCUAAACGAUGUCAACUAGUUGUUGGGGAUUCAUUUCCUUAGUAACGUAGCUAACGCGUGAAGUUGACCGCCUGGGGAGUACGGUCGCAAGAUUAAAACUCAAAUG